AGCAUAUGUUCUUUUGGAGAUUAUUUCAAAAAAUUUAAACGGAAAAUCGCAACAGAAUUGGAACACUAACCGCCAUUAACUGCAUGAACUGACUUCGCUGAGUUCUUGGUUUUCCAACACCUCAUCAAUAGAUUCUUUGGUGAUUUCAAAGUUGAAACUAUUGUCUUCGAAAAAAGAAAGCUGUUUCGUACAAAACAAUGCACCUUUGCCGACACAGAGCCAAAUUCAGGCAAAUCAACAUGUUCAAACCUGUCGUAAUCAACAGCAGUGGCUGCCAUUACCUGUGACACGAUUUUUGUAAACAAAGCAGCAGUGCAAAGCACACGAUCGUAACAAACGAAGUGAUCCGAUUUUUUUAAACAAAGACAGUGCAAAGCAACGCGACUGAAACACACGAAGUGCAAAUUGUGAAAUAAAUUAAAUCAAAUUAGGCGUGUGAGCAAAUGCUAAAUAAAAUAAUAUAAAACGUGUAGUAAAAAGCAGGAAAGUGCAAAAUUAAUAAUACUAAAAGCGGCAGUUAUAAGUUUAAUACGAGAAAGCGAAAAUUAUUAUUAUUAUUAUUAAAUUUCAUAAUUAAAGUGAAUCGGGAAAAAUGAAGAGCACGUGCGUGAGUGUAAAAUGAAGAAAAAAUGAGAAAAUUGAAGUGCCUUUUGUUUUAAUGUAAAAGUAGUGAGCGUAGAGAAGUAAAAUAUAAAUGUGUAUAAGUUUUGUGCAAUAAAAUGAAGUGAAAUAGUGAAAAGUGUUUAGUAAAUUUCGUAGAAAAAUGAAAAUGUGUGUUAUUAAAAAGCAAGUGUGCUAAGAAAAGUAAAAAAGUGUUGUUGUGUGAGAGGCAAGAGGUAAUGUGUGUAUAGUGGAGAAAAAUAGAAGUUCAAAGCACGAGUUUAUAGCAACAAGUAUGAUAGAGAUCUACUUAAAGUUAACAGAAUCCACUUUGAUAAGCAGACUCCUAGCAGAGAACGU